rnacentral:tmRNA from 1 species
UAAGAGACAGAUUUAGAGGUGUCGUUAUAUUAUAGAUAGAAAACGUAUAUCUUUGCUGCGUUUUCGAUACUCAAUAAGUUAAGUUUUGGGUUGUUCGUUUUUAGCCAGCCCACUGCCGACAAUUUGAUAGAAACUAUGCAUGUAGAAAGCUACGCGAUAGCUCGUUUGGACACGAGUUCGAUUCUCGGCGUCUCCACAA